CUGUGUUCCACGCUGUCGGUUCGCCGCCCGUCGGUGUUAACUGGCAUGUCCUGUGGAACGUCCUGCCGGUGGCGGUCCGGGCUCUCGGCUUGCGUAAAGGCUCACGCCCGAAGCAGGCCGAACAGUACCGGCCGCCGGUCCAAUCCCGCCACGGUGCUCUUCACCGAGUGUCGAGGUGGGCCGGCACGUUUACUUUGAACAAAUUAGAGUGCUUAAAGCAGGCUGGUGUCCGCCUGAAUACUGUGUGCAUGGAAUAAUAGAAUAGGACCUCGGUUCUAUUUUGUUGGUUUUCGGAACCCGAGGUAAUGAUUAAUAGGGACAGGCGGGGGCAUUCGUAUUGCGACGUUAGAGGUGAAAUUCUUGGAUCGUCGCAAGACGAACCUAAGCGAAAGCAUUUGCCAAGUAUGUUCUCGUUAAUCAAGAACGAAAGUUAGAGGUUCGAAGGCGAUCAGAUACCGCCCUAGUUCUAACCAUAAACGAUGCCAGCCAGCGAUCCGCCGAAGUUCCUCCGAUGACUCGGCGGGCAGCUUCCGGGAAACCAAAGCUUUUGGGUUCCGGGGGAAGUAUGGUUGCAAAGCUGAAACUUAAAGGAAUUGACGGAAGGGCACCACCAGGAGUGGAGCCUGCGGCUUAAUUUGACUCAACACGGGAAACCUCACCAGGCCCGGACACCGGAAGGAUUGACAGAUUGAGAGCUCUUUCUUGAUUCGGUGGGUGGUGGUGCAUGGCCGUUCUUAGUUGGUGGAGCGAUUUGUCUGGUUAAUUCCGAUAACGAACGAGACUCUAGCCUGCUAACUAGGCGAUUCCGGUACCCACAAUAGUGUUACCGGCGAUUCAAUUUCUUCUUAGAGGGACAGGCGGCUCCUAGCCGCACGAGACUGAGCAAUAACAGGUCUGUGAUGCCCUUAGAUGUCCUGGGCCGCACGCGCGCUACACUGAAGGAAUCAGCGUGUCUUCCCUGGCCGACAGGCCCGGGUAACCCGUUGAACCUCCUUCGUGCUAGGGAUUGGGGCUUGCAAUUGUUCCCCAUGAACGAGGAAUUCCCAGUAAGCGCGAGUCAUAAGCUCGCGUUGAUUACGUCCCUGCCCUUUGUACACACCGCCCGUCGCUACUACCGAUUGAAUGAUUUAGUGAGGUCUUCGGACUGGUGCGCGGCGAUCGGCUUAUACUGCCGGCCGCCGAUGUUGCCGGAAAGAUGACCAAACUUGAUCAUUUAGAGGAAGUAAAAGUCGUAACAA
rnacentral:rRNA from 1 species